rnacentral:misc_RNA from 1 species
ACAGAAAUUUCAUAGAACAUACAUGUCCUAAGGUGUUUAUUAAGUGAUAACAUUGAACGUCUAGGGACCAUUUUCACUUUGCCGAACAUCUAUUAGAACAAGAAAUUAAUUAACGAACAUUCUUAACGUGUUGAUUCUUCCCAGUUCCAGAAAUCGGGGACGUGGUCUCUCUGACUGCGCGCACCGACAGCGUCAAUCCAACCACCACCAUCCAAUUAACUUGGCAGGCACCCGCGAUGCACGUGAAAUGCAUAUCCAACUACUCGAUUGUCUGGUGCGACAAGGGGGAAUCUUGCAAUGAAACUUCGGUCCUCGUCGCAAACCACACCGUUAACAAUCUCGAGCCGUGCACGGAGUAUCGCUUCACCGUCAAAACGGUGACGCCGUCCGUGGAGUCCGUCGGCGUAAACCAGAUCGCGAAGACAGCUUCGCCGAAAUUAGAGGCGCCGCAAUCCCUCAGCGUAGAAGGCGGCAAUUUUUCACUGAUUGUUAAAUGGGAGCCCCCGAAGCCCCCGGCCUGUCUGAAACAUUAUCAUGUAAAAACGGAUCCCGAUAACCAUACCGUUAAUACCACGAACACAAGUGUAAUAAUUUCGGAUUUGCACGCUUGUAAGACGUAUCAAGUGUAUCUCAACGCUAUAAAUGAGGACGACAAUGAAGGAAAGUCGAUAGAUCAGACUGCAACUACGCUUCGGUCUAAAACGAAACCACCAAAUGGACAAACUCCAGGAGUACCGCCAGGUGUCACGAGUGAUUCUGUGACAAUACUGUGGACCAUUCAGAAAGAUAACAAUUAUUGUAAUCUGUCACAUAUAAUAACCAUAUGUAAUUACACAGAGAAAAUGGGGAAAGGCUACAACGCUGAGAAUCGCGUGUUCCCGAUGAAAGUAGAUUCCGAUAUUGCUGCGGAUCCUACUAUUUUACUAAAUACAACUGUGGAAGGAUUAAGUCCUUUCACGAGUUACACUUGCUGGGCGCAUACUGUUAAUUCUGGAGGGUACAGUGACUUAAGUGACGGAAUCAAUGUCACAACAUUGGAGGAAGCGCCGUCUGCGCCUAAGCUUUCCAUCGGAAAUCUCACGGACUCGCAAUUUUCUUUAUCUUGGGAUGAACCGGAUUAUUUGCCCGGUAAUUUAGAAGAAUUUGAAAUCAUAAUCGAUUGGAAAUCGCAAUAUCCAAUUCCAGAUUGGUGCGAAGAACAAGAUUAUUCUGAAACACUUAAUGUAAAAAACAGAAGCAUAUUUGAAUAUCAUUAUUCCGAGAUAAAGGCGUUUAUGAAUUACACAGCAUAUAUUAGAGCGAAAACAGGGGAAGGAUGGAGCAACAAAAGUGAUCCUCAAGAAAUUUCAACCAAUAGCGCAGUUCCAGGGGCAAUCUCGAAAUUUAAUUCCUCAUCCAUCACGAUUAAAGAAAGUUUAAACGACACAAACGUAUUGGAUACGAUUUUGACAUGGGGUCUGCCUUGUUCGUUAAACGGUGAACUUGAAUUCUUUAGCGUAUCGGGUGUCGGUACCAGAAUCGGAUAUCCACCUGAUUUGAUUUUGGAGAAUUGUAACUGCUCGAAUUACGAUUAUAUGUGCGCAAUAAAUCUCAACGAGUUGAAAGGGGAGUAUAAUUAUAAUUUCACAAUAUCCGCCAAAGUCAAGAAUGUUGAUACACUUGGACAACCAGUUAGUAUUCAAGAUAUACUAUAUCCUGCCGGCAUACCGCCACAGCCCAAACCCUCAUACAUUAAAUCGAUCACCCUGGACCCGUACAAGUCGCGCAGAACCACAACGACCGCCGCUGUUCUGUUGCCCAUGUUCCCCAACACUAACGGCAACAUCAAGUUCUACGCAGUCAUGGUGGCAAGGAUGGGACACAAUGAACAAUCGCACACACGGUACGAUCUGAACAGCAAGGGCUGGCCCAACACGUCUACCUGGGAGGACGCGAUGCUAAACGAUUUCAAGAUCACGUAUCAGGCCACCUGGAAGGGAUGGAAUUACUCGAGCCACAUCAUUGAUUACGGAAACAUAAAAGCUAUCAAGUACAUGAUCGGCGAAGACAUUGACUGCGCGAUUGUCUCGAGCAACUCGGAUGAGCCGAUGUACUGCAACGGGCCGCUUAAUCCUGACACGUGGUACAACGUCAGAAUGAGGGCGUUCACUGACAACGGUUACACCGAUUCCGAGCCAUUUAGCAUAAAAACGAAGGAAGAACUAAAUAUCGCUGUCAUUAUCGGAGCUAUCUUCUGCAUUCUUUUCCUGGGGAUAAUAGUGACGCUGAUGCUGCUCGUGCGAAGAUGCUCGCCGUACAUAGUGUUACGAAGAUUUCUUCACUCUGACAUGCCCGGCUCGCCCGUUCCCACACCGUUCACCAGAAAGAAAUUCAUCAGCCAUUGUCAACAACUAGUGGACAAUCCCGGGAAGCUGAGCAAUGAAUUUCGGCUGCUUCAAACACUCAGCGUCGAUUUGCAGAUGCCCACGAACACGGCCUGCUUGCAAGCUAACAGGAAGAAAAAUCGCUACUCCGAUAUUUUACCUUAUGAUUUCUCAAGAGUAAAGCUGGAAGUGAUAGAUAACGAUCCUAACACGGAUUAUAUCAAUGCAUCUUUCAUAAAGGGGUAUACAGGAGAAGAUGAGUACAUAGCUUGUCAAGGUCCAAAGGAAGAAACCACUUACGAUUUUUGGAGGAUGGUCAAUCAGUACAACAUCAAUAUUAUAGUUAUGUUGACGCAGUUGGUCGAAAAGGGCAAAGAGAAAUGUCAUCAAUAUUAUCCGACAAUAGAAGAAUCUUUUCGAUUUGAGAACAUGACGAUACGAUGUACGAGUGAAUUCGACUUCAGAACGCAUACCCAAAGAACGCUUAUAUUACAAAAGGAAAAUAAAAAAAGAAUUAUUACUCAUCUGCACUUUAAAGACUGGCCCGAUCACGAUGUUCCGGAAGAUUUCGAUGCAAUGAUCAAUUUUUGCCAAAUAAUGCGCCGCAAUAUUACCUCUAAUAAAGGUUUCAUCGUUGUUCAUUGCAGUGCAGGGAUAGGUAGAACAGGGACAUUAAUAGCGAUAGAUAUUCUUCUGCAACAAAUUAGAGAUAAUAGGAAAUUAGAUGUAUUCGGAACUGUAUAUAGAUUGCGACAUCAUAGAAUAAAUAUGGUACAAAGAGAAAGUCAAUACGCUUAUAUAUAUAAUUGUAUAAAACAAGUACUCAAAAACCCUUAUUUCUUAAAAACUUACAAACCACCACCAGUUGAGCCAGUAUACGAGAAUACCUCUAAGAAAGUCAAAGAUACAACAAAUUCAGCAACUCUAGUCAACAAUCUUGAAAUAUGUAUGUAAUAUACAUUUAAUACAUGUAUACUCUAUUCUAUGUAGCGGACUAGAUGUUCUUUAUUCUUAUGGUAUUAUUAAGUAUUAAAAAGAGCACGAUAGAAAUAACACUAAUCUAUUUUGUACUACAGAAUGAGAGUCUCUCCAUCUAUCUAAUACGUGAUGAGUAAAAAAACCUAACUCUACAUCUAUGGAAUCUCUAGAAUCAAUCUACAAUCUCUUUCCUCAAGCGAUUUCAAGAAGCAUAACAAAUAACG